GUUUAUUUUAUUUUAAAAGUGAAAAUUACUAUUUAUUUUAGUGUGACUUGUUUAUAGUUUCUAAAAUUUUAUUGGUUUCAUUGAAAUUGAAAACAUAAGCGUUGAUUACUAUAAUUCUAGCUAUAGGUUGUGGGUAACCAUUACCACCCUAUUUAACAAACUUCUCAACUUAACCAAAAUUUACGAAUAGCAGCGGAAAGACUUUUUUUCCAAAAGUAGGCUCGGUUGUGGUCUUUAUCUUUAGCUUGUAGGUUAUACUUGGUGCAAAAAGCCUAAUUCAGGUUUUAAAUUGUUAACUUAUUUUAAAAUAAUUAUAAUUGUUAUUAUAAAAAUUUAUUUAUUUUACUUAUUUAUUUUUUUAGGUUGGGGGGGGGGGGCACAAGCCCCUCCCACAAGUCAAUAAGCACACCACCAAUAAAUGAAUUUCUUGUAGCAAAAAAAUUUUUUAUGUUUUUUAUACUGUAUACUAGUUUCACUUAUUUUAUUAAAUAUAGAAAUAUUUA